GCUAGCGACAGGCUUAACACAUGCAAGUUGAGGGGCAGCACAGGUAGCAAUACCGGGUGGCGACCGGCGCACGGGUGAGUAACGCGUAUGCAACUUGCCUAUCAGAGGGGGAUAACCCGGCGAAAGUCGGACUAAUACCGCAUGAAGCAGGGGCCCCGCAUGGGGAUAUUUGCUAAAGAUUCAUCGCUGAUAGAUAGGCAUGCGUUCCAUUAGGCAGUUGGCGGGGUAACGGCCCACCAAACCGACGAUGGAUAGGGGUUCUGAGAGGAAGGUCCCCCACAUUGGUACUGAGACACGGACCAAACUCCUACGGGAGGCAGCAGUGAGGAAUAUUGGUCAAUGGCCGAGAGGCUGAACCAGCCAAGUCGCGUGAGGGAUGAAGGUUCUAUGGAUCGUAAACCUCUUUUAUAAGGGAAUAAAGUGCGGGACGUGUCCCGUUUUGUAUGUACCUUAUGAAUAAGGAUCGGCUAACUCCGUGCCAGCAGCCGCGGUAAUACGGAGGAUCCGAGCGUUAUCCGGAUUUAUUGGGUUUAAAGGGUGCGUAGGCGGCCUUUUAAGUCAGCGGUGAAAGUCUGUGGCUCAACCAUAGAAUUGCCGUUGAAACUGGGGGGCUUGAGUAUGUUUGAGGCAGGCGGAAUGCGUGGUGUAGCGGUGAAAUGCAUAGAUAUCACGCAGAACCCCGAUUGCGAAGGCAGCCUGCCAAGCCAUGACUGACGCUGAUGCACGAAAGCGUGGGGAUCAAACAGGAUUAGAUACCCUGGUAGUCCACGCAGUAAACGAUGAUCACUAGCUGUUUGCGAUACACAGUAAGCGGCACAGCGAAAGCGUUAAGUGAUCCACCUGGGGAGUACGCCGGCAACGGUGAAACUCAAAGGAAUUGACGGGGGCCCGCACAAGCGGAGGAACAUGUGGUUUAAUUCGAUGAUACGCGAGGAACCUUACCCGGGUUUGAACGCAUUCGGACCGAGGUGGAAACACCUUUUCUAGCAAUAGCCGUUUGCGAGGUGCUGCAUGGUUGUCGUCAGCUCGUGCCGUGAGGUGUCGGCUUAAGUGCCAUAACGAGCGCAACCCUUGCCACUAGUUACUAACAGGUGAUGCUGAGGACUCUGGUGGGACUGCCAGCGUAAGCUGCGAGGAAGGCGGGGAUGACGUCAAAUCAGCACGGCCCUUACAUCCGGGGCGACACACGUGUUACAAUGGCGUGGACAAAGGGAGGCCACCUGGCGACAGGGAGCGAAUCCCCAAACCACAUCUCAGUUCGGAUCGGAGUCUGCAACCCGACUCCGUGAAGCUGGAUUCGCUAGUAAUCGCGCAUCAGCCAUGGCGCGGUGAAUACGUUCCCGGGCCUUGUACACACCGCCCGUCAAGCCAUGGGAGCCGGGGGUACCUGAAGUCCGUAACCGCGAGGAUCGGCCUAGGGUAAAACUGGUGACUGGGC
rnacentral:rRNA from 1 species